rnacentral:lncRNA from 1 species
GGAUUGCAGGCUGACACCCUCUCCGCAGCUUCACCCGAGAUGGAGGAUCUCCCCAUGGGGCGGCGGAACCCGGCGGCCAGCCUCACCGACGACCUCGUCGUCGAGAUCCUCCGCCGCCUCCCCGUCCGCUCCGUGUGCCGCUUCAAGCGCGUCUGCCGGUCCUGGCGCAACCUCAUCGCCGACCGUGAGCACCGCAAGAAGCUGCCGCAGACGCUGUCCGGCUUCUUCUACAAAAGCAGCAGCGGCGAGCGCUGCCCUUGCUCGGCGCACCACUUCACCAACGUCUCCGGGAAAGGGGUGCCUCUCAUCUACCCGUCAUUCUCCUUCCUGCCCCAGUGCGACACGGUCGUCCCCUUGGACUGCUGCAAUGGCCUCCUCCUCUGCCGCUGCUUCCAGCCCGGGCCUAACAACAGCGAUGAUGAGAUUGAGCCGUUCCAUUAUGCCGUGUGCAAUCCUGCGACCAAGGAAUGGGUGAUGUUGCCGGAUGCCGACUGGGCUAAUGGCGAGACCCGCAUUGCCUGCCUGUGUUUCGACCCAGCAAUCUCCUCGCAUUUCCAUGUUCUUGAGUAUGUGGAGGCUGAAUAUGAAGAUGUCACGGGGGUUGAGAUCUACUCUUCCGAAACUGGGUUGUGGACUCUUCAUGUGAGUGGAUGGGGCGAUGAUGUGUUUCUAAGGCAUUGGGCCAAUCCGAGAAGUGUUUUCCUUAAUGGUUUUCUGCAUUCUGCUACGUGUGCUGCUGAGAUUGCGGUGGUUGACAUGGAGGGGAAGAAAUGGAGGACCAUUGCUAUGCCGGAGCCUGAAGGUGAUACUGGCAUAAUUCAUCAAACUCAGGGUCGCCUAUGUGCUUUUAAUGUUGAUCCAGAUGACAUCUUCAAACUGUCAAUUUGGAUUCUUGAAGAUUAUGAUACAGAUAAUUGGAUAUUAAAGCACACCGUUAGCUCCUUGAGGCUGUUUGGAGGGAUGAAAUAUCGGUUUGGAUUUGACUACCAAAUAAUUGCAGUUCAUCCGGAAUGUAAUUUGAUCUUCUUUGUUUAUGGAUGGGACAAAACGUUGAUGGCAUAUGAAAUGGAUCGCAAGGAAGUUCGUGCUAUACGCAAUCUCGGACAUGACUCCUUUGAGCCAUAUCUACCAUAUGUUCCACUCUUUAAUGAGUCAUUAGCAGAUGGGUGCUAACGUGCAGAGUGUCGCUUCACUUCUAUCACUGCAAAAACAUCCUUUUGCACCAAGGAUAACCAAGCUAAGAGUGAGAAAAGCCAAUCUCUGAUAUUUAAUUAGGAAGUUCAGUUUGUACUAGAAUGAUGUCUUUUCCUUUGUGUUGUUUUGAGAAUGCUGCUAAGUCUGAUGGUACGUAGUAAGUAAAUUGGCUUUUGGAAAGUUUGUCAUUGUUCUGAAGUGUAUGACUUGUUUUAUUCUACUGGUGUUUUACUCCAUGGUAGUUAAGCUUGGAUGCCGUGUUCUAAGACUGGCAGGUCUUUUUGACUGUACCAGUGUUAUCAGUUUAGGGUACCAUGACCAAUGACCAAUGUUUUGGAACUUCAAUUGGAAGUUAGGAACAUAUCACAUAUGUACUUCUCGAUUUCUUCAUUCUUUUUCUUUUUUUCUUAUUUUCUGAAGUAUUUGUCUACACGUUUCUUUUCUGUUUGGUGAUCGAUAGUGAUCUCAUUUAUUCAAAUAUUGCUUCCCCUGCCAUUUCUGGCUAGAGACUACUAUAGUUCUAACUAUCCAGGCUAGCCGCUGGCUUCCUCUGAUUGUUACCCUUCUGAAUUUGCAAAUUACCUGCUACAUCCAUGAUAAAGGUUAUCAAAACUGCAACUACUUUGAUUCCUUCAACUAUCGUCCGAGUAUGAUUCAUAUCCUCCAACUACAAAACCGGGUAUAUCGACUCCAACUAUCAAAAUCAGUGCAAACAAUGUCCCUUGGUGGUGGCUGACGUGGCGGUCUCGAUCGAUCUUUGCCCUGUGCGGCGCUUAUGUUGAAUUAGAAUAAAAACAAAAAUAAAAAAAAUAUAUGUCGGACCAUAUGCCAUUCGCACAAAAAAAUGUAUUGUGGUAGCCACCGACAUGUGGGACCCACAUGUCAUCCCUUCUUCCUCCUCCCUCCAUCUCUCUUCCCCGGCUUCUCUCUUCACCUUGGCCGGAGCGGCGGUGGGGAUGGCGGUGGGGAUGGCAGUGGCGGUGAGGAUGGCGGUAGGGAGCGAAAGCGACGGCGGCGACAGCGUUCAGCCGAAGCACGAAGCACAAGAUCCUCCCCGAAGCUGGAGCAGUAGUGUGACUCCGACCAACCACCCCGCUGCCUUCUUCGGCUCACCCCGUUCGGCCCUUCCCGUGGCUCGAGCGCACCGAAAACCCCACUAGCGAGCUCCUCCCCGCGCGUGGACGGCCGGUGAGCUCCUCCCCCGUGCGUGGAUGGUAGGGGGCCAGGCGAGGAAGUUGUUGGUGGCGCCACCCCUGCCACCGGACGGGCCGUCCCCACCAUCGGACGCCGUCCUCCUCCUCCGCUCUCCUCAGCCGCAUCCUUCCUGCCAACCGCCUUCUCCUUCUCCUCCCCACCACUGGACACAACCUGGCUCUGGACGAGCGCGUGCACCACCACCGGACGCUGCCGAUGUUCCCUACCGCCGUCGUUCCCACCACUAUCCCACCGCCACUCCGGCCAAGGUGAAGAGAAAAGGGCGGGGGAGAGAGAGAGGGAGGAGGAAGAAGGAAAGGAGAGGGAGGAUGGGUCCCACAUAUUUUUAUAUUUUUGUUUUUAUUCUAAUGCCACGUAAGCGGCACGGAGGACAAAGAUUAGUCAAAACCAUCACGUAAGCGCCACAUCAGCUAAAACUACCUCCAAAACCACCAAGAAAUAUACCUCCAAAUCCACCCAAAAAUAUUGUUUGUACCGAAUUUAAUAGUUAGAGGAGUCGAUAUACCUGGUUCGGUUCUGUGGUAGGAUGACAUAAAUCAACACUUAGACGACAUUUGAGGAGUCAAAGUAUACUUUUUUCCAAACCUGGCCGAUCAUUUCCACCGGGGUUUUGGGCCUAAAACCGGCCUUCCAAGCAGGUCACGGUUGUACUACUGAAGUGCAACGACAUUGCCACAUUGGGAUGCCUCGCCGCCGCUUCUAGGUCUUCUUCUCGGUGACCGGCGAGGCAGCCGGCGCGGCUUUGCCGGCGAGGGCUAUAGGUUGCCGGCACGUGCGACCUGCUCCGUAGCGAGCGCACGGGGGGCUGCCGUGACUGAGCAGCCGCACCGCGCGGCAAUUAAUGCUUCGUGCCUCCCAGUGAGCUGCCUUGAUCGGUAGGUUCCCCGAUCUAUUCUACUUCCCAAAAUUAAUUCGUCUAGUGCAUGGAUUGAUGAACCGUUGGUGUUGAUUCGUUGUCAGAUUUUUACUUCUUUGUCAUUUCGAUGUUUCUGUUCGGGUAAUCCAAUCCCCAUGUUCUGCUCUUGCCGGCGAAUCCCCUUCUCUUCGCGGAUUGCAGGCUGACACCCUCUCCGCAGCUUCACCCGAGAUGGAGGAUCUCCCCAUGGGGCGGCGGAACCCGGCGGCCAGCCUCACCGACGACCUCGUCGUCGAGAUCCUCCGCCGCCUCCCCGUCCGCUCCGUGUGCCGCUUCAAGCGCGUCUGCCGGUCCUGGCGCAACCUCAUCGCCGACCGUGAGCACCGCAAGAAGCUGCCGCAGACGCUGUCCGGCUUCUUCUACAAAAG